rnacentral:rRNA from 1 species
AACGAACGCUGGCGGCAUGCCUAACACAUGCAAGUCGAACGAGACCUUCGGGUCUAGUGGCGCACGGGUGCGUAACGCGUGGGAACCUGCCCUUAGGUUCGGAAUAACUCCCCGAAAGGGGUGCUAAUACCGGAUAAUGUCUUCGGACCAAAGAUUUAUCGCCUUUGGAUGGGCCCGCGUUGGAUUAGCUAGUUGGUAGGGUAAAAGCCUACCAAGGCGACGAUCCAUAGCUGGUCUGAGAGGAUGAUCAGCCACACUGGGACUGAGACACGGCCCAGACUCCCUCCGGAGGCAGGAGGGGGGAAUAUUGGACAAUGGGCGAAAGCCUGAUCCAGCAAUGCCGCGUGAGUGAUGAAGGCCUUAGGGUUGUAAAGCUCUUUUACCCGGGAUGAUAAUGACAGUACCGGGAGAAUAAGCUCCGGCUAACUCCGUG